GAUGAAGAACGUAGCGAAAUGCGAUAAGUAAUGUGAAUUGCAGAAUUCAGUGAAUCAUCGAAUCUUUGAACGCACAUUGCGCCCCUUGGUAUUCCGAGGGGCAUGCCUGUUCGAGCGUCAUUAUAACCCCUCAAGCUCAGCUUGGUGUUGGGGCCUGCUGCACUGGCAGCCCUUAAAAUCAGUGGCGGCGCCAUCUGGCUCUAAGCGUAGUAAUUCUUCUCGCUAUGGAGUCCUGGUGGAUGCUUGCCAUCAACCCCCAAUUUUUCUAUGGUUGACCUCGGAUCGGGUAGGGAUACCCGCUGAACUUAAGCAUAUCAAUAAGCGGAGGA
rnacentral:misc_RNA from 1 species